rnacentral:rRNA from 1 species
UACGGGGGGGGCAAGCGUUGUUCGGAAUUACUGGGCGUAAAGGGCUCGUAGGCGGCCAACUAAGUCAGACGUGAAAUCCCUCGGCUUAACCGGGGAACUGCGUCUGAUACUGGAUGGCUAGAGGUUGGGAGAGGGAUGCGGAAUUCCAGGUGUAGCGGUGAAAUGCGUAGAUAUCUGGAGGAACACCGGUGGCGAAGGCGGCAUCCUGGACCAAUUCUGACGCUGAGGAGCGAAAGCCAGGGGAGCAAACGGA